GAUGAACGCUGGCGGCGUGCCUAAUACAUGCAAGUAGAACGCUGAAGCUUGGUGCUUGCACCGAGCGGAUGAGUUGCGAACGGGUGAGUAACGCGUAGGUAACCUGCCUCUUAGCGGGGGAUAACUAUUGGAAACGAUAGCUAAUACCGCAUAAAAGUCGACAUCGCAUGAUGUUGACUUGAAAGGUGCAAUUGCAUCACUAAGAGAUGGACCUGCGUUGUAUUAGCUAGUUGGUGAGGUAACGGCUCACCAAGGCGACGAUACAUAGCCGACCUGAGAGGGUGAUCGGCCACACUGGGACUGAGACACGGCCCAGACUCCUACGGGAGGCAGCAGUAGGGAAUCUUCGGCAAUGGGGGCAACCCUGACCGAGCAACGCCGCGUGAGUGAAGAAGGUUUUCGGAUCGUAAAGCUCUGUUGUAAGAGAAGAACGAGUGCGAGAGUGGAAAGUUCACACUGUGACGGUAACUUACCAGAAAGGGACGGCUAACUACGUG
rnacentral:rRNA from 1 species